rnacentral:lncRNA from 1 species
ACCCCAGGCCCUGGUACACAGCAGGCAGAGAUGGGUUUCACCAUGGUGAUCAGUCUGGUCUCGAACUCCUGACCUCAAGUGAUCCACCCACGUUGGCCUCCCAAAGUGCUGGGAUUACAGGCCUCCAGGCGGGCACGCAUCUUUGUUGUGUUCUCUGCUGACUAUAUCCUCAGCACCUAGAACUGUGUCUGUCACCUAAUAGAUGCUCAAUAAACCUGCCAGUAAUUUCAGCAAAUGAAACGUGGAACACGUCAAGGCCAGAGGAUGGAAAAGGCUCCAGUUUUGAUAAAAGGAGGCCUGCUUGGCUUGGAAUCCUCUCUCCUGCUGGUUGGGAGAUGCAAAGAUGUUUCCAGAGAGGGGCUGAUGAAUUGAGGGGAAAGAAAUGAGCCCAGUAUGAGUCCCCUUUCAGGGCUGAGCGGGUAUAAAACCAAACAACUUGGAACCGCUCCAAGAGAGGGGAUUAAAGCAACAUGUUAUUCUGA